rnacentral:piRNA from 1 species
GAUUGGUAGACUGUUAAGGAUCUUAAA